GUAGGUCUUCGGCAGCACACAUACUAAAAUUGGAACGAUACAGAGAAGAUUAGCGUGGCCCCUGCGCAAGUAGCUCUUCUUUAUACACAACUGGUUUUG
rnacentral:snRNA from 1 species